GGGCCGGUAGCUCAACCUGGUAGGGCGCCUGCCUUGCACGCAGGAGAUUGUGGGUUCAAAUCCCACCCGGUCCA
rnacentral:tRNA from 1 species